rnacentral:rRNA from 1 species
AGCGAACGCUGGCGGCAGGCCUAACACAUGCAAGUCGAACGAACCUCUCGGGGUUAGUGGCGGUCGGGUGAGUUACACGAGGGAACGUGCCUCUAGGUUCGGAAUAACCUAGGUAAACCUGUGCUAAUACCCUAUUUGUCCUUCGGGGGUAAGAUUUACCGCCCUUAGAGCGGAUCACGUCUGAUUAGCUAGUUGGUUGAAGUAAUUGCUUACCCAGGCGACGAUCAGUAGCUGGUCUGAGAGGAUGAUCAGCCACAUUAGGCCUGAGACACGGCCCAAACUCCUACGGGAGGCAGCGGUGGAGACUCUUGCGCAAUGGGAGAAAGCCUUACGCAGCCAUGCGGCGUGAAUGAUGAAGGUCUUAGGAUCGUAAAAUUCUUUCACAGAAGACGAUAAUGGCGGUACCCAGAAGAGAAGGCCCGGCUAACUUCGUG